GACGAACGCUGGCGGCGUGCCUAAUACAUGCAAGUAGAACGCUGAAGAGAGGAGCUUGCUCUUCUUGGAUGAGUUGCGAACGGGUGAGUAACGCGUAGGUAACCUGCCUUGUAGCGGGGGAUAACUAUUGGAAACGAUAGCUAAUACCGCAUAACAAUGGAUGACACAUGUCAUUUAUUUGAAAGGGGCAAUUGCUCCACUACAAGAUGGACCUGCGUUGUAUUAGCUAGUAGGUGAGGUAACGGCUCACCUAGGCGACGAUACAUAGCCGACCUGAGAGGGUGAUCGGCCACACUGGGACUGAGACACGGCCCAGACUCCUACGGGAGGCAGCAGUAGGGAAUCUUCGGCAAUGGGGGCAACCCUGACCGAGCAACGCCGCGUGAGUGAAGAAGGUUUUCGGAUCGUAAAGCUCUGUUGUAAGUCAAGAACGAGUGUGAGAGUGGAAAGUUCACACUGUGACGGUAGCUUACCAGAAAGGGACGGCUAACUACGUGCCAGCAGCCGCGGUAAUACGUAGGUCCCGAGCGUUGUCCGGAUUUAUUGGGCGUAAAGCGAGCGCAGGCGGUUUGAUAAGUCUGAAGUUAAAGGCUGUGGCUCAACCAUAGUUCGCUUUGGAAACUGUCAAACUUGAGUGCAGAAGGGGAGAGUGGAAUUCCAUGUGUAGCGGUGAAAUGCGUAGAUAUAUGGAGGAACACCGGUGGCGAAAGCGGCUCUCUGGUCUGUAACUGACGCUGAGGCUCGAAAGCGUGGGGAGCGAACAGGAUUAGAUACCCUGGUAGUCCACGCCGUAAACGAUGAGUGCUAGGUGUUGGAUCCUUUCCGGGAUUCAGUGCCGCAGCUAACGCAUUAAGCACUCCGCCUGGGGAGUACGACCGCAAGGUUGAAACUCAAAGGAAUUGACGGGGGCCCGCACAAGCGGUGGAGCAUGUGGUUUAAUUCGAAGCAACGCGAAGAACCUUACCAGGUCUUGACAUCCCGAUGCUAUUUCUAGAGAUAGAAAGUUACUUCGGUACAUCGGUGACAGGUGGUGCAUGGUUGUCGUCAGCUCGUGUCGUGAGAUGUUGGGUUAAGUCCCGCAACGAGCGCAACCCCUAUUGUUAGUUGCCAUCAUUCAGUUGGGCACUCUAGCGAGACUGCCGGUAAUAAACCGGAGGAAGGUGGGGAUGGCGUCAAAUCACCAUGCCCCUUAUGACCUGGGCUACACACGUGCUACAAUGGUUGGUACAACGAGUUGCGAGUCGGUGACGGCAAGCUAAUCUCUUAAAGCCAAUCUCAGUUCGGAUUGUAGGCUGCAACUCGCCUACAUGAAGUCGGAAUCGCUAGUAAUCGCGGAUCAGCACGCCGCGGUGAAUACGUUCCCGGGCCU
rnacentral:rRNA from 1 species